GAUGAACGCUGGCGGCGUACCUAAUACAUGCAAGUCGAGCGAACAGACGAGGAGCUUGCUCCUCUGACGUUAGCGGCGGACGGGUGAGUAACACGUGGAUAACCUACCUAUAAGACUGGGAUAACUUCGGGAAACCGGAGCUAAUACCGGAUAAUAUAUUGAACCGCAUGGUUCAAUAGUGAAAGACGGUUUUGCUGUCACUUAUAGAUGGAUCCGCGCCGCAUUAGCUAGUUGGUAAGGUAACGGCUUACCAAGGUGACGAUGCGUAGCCGACCUGAGAGGGUGAUCGGCCACACUGGAACUGAGACACGGUCCAGACUCCUACGGGAGGCAGCAGUAGGGAAUCUUCCGCAAUGGGCGAAAGCCUGACGGAGCAACGCCGCGUGAGUGAUGAAGGUCUUCGGAUCGUAAAACUCUGUUAUUAGGGAAGAACAAAUGUGUAAGUAACUAUGCACGUCUUGACGGUACCUAAUCAGAAAGCCACGGCUAACUACGUG
rnacentral:rRNA from 1 species